rnacentral:rRNA from 1 species
UCCCCUAGUAACUGCGAGUGAAGCGGGAAAAGCUCAAAUUUAAAAUCUGGCGGUCUUUGGCCGUCCGAGUUGUAGUCUGGAGAAGUGCUUUCCGCGCUGGACCGUGUAUAAGUCUCUUGGAACAGAGCGUCAUAGAGGGUGAGAAUCCCGUCUUUGACACGGACUACCAGUGCUUUGUGAUGCGCUCUCAAAGAGUCGAGUUGUUUGGGAAUGCAGCUCAAAAUGGGUGGUGAAUUCCAUCUAAAGCUAAAUAUUGGCGAGAGACCGAUAGCGAACAAGUACCGUGAGGGAAAGAUGAAAAGCACUUUGGAAAGAGAGUUAAACAGUACGUGAAAUUGCUGAAAGGGAAACGCUUGAAGUCAGUCGCGUUGUCCGGAACUCAGCCUUGCUUUUGCUUGGUGCACUUUCCGGAUGACGGGUCAGCAUCGAUUUUGACCGUCGGAAAAGGGCUGGAGUAAUGUGGCACCUCCGGGUGUGUUAUAGACUCUGGUCGCAUACGACGGUUAGGAUCGAGGAACGCAGCGCGCCGCAAGGCAGGGGUUCGCCCACUUUCGCGCUUAGGAUGCUGGCAUAAUGGCUUUAAACGACCCGUCUUGAAACACGGACCAAGGAGUCUAACAUACCUGCGAGUGUUUGGGUGGAAAACCCGAGCGCGUAAUGAAAGUGAAAGUUGAGAUCCCUGUCGUGGGGAGCACCGACGCCCGGACCUGACGUUUUCUGACGGAUCCGCGGUAGAGCAUGUAUGUUGGGACCCGAAAGAUGGUGAACUAUGCCUGAAUAAGGUGAAGCCAGAGGAAACUCUGGUGGAGGCUCGUAGCGAUUCUGACGUGCAAAUCGAUCGUCAAAUUU